rnacentral:rRNA from 1 species
GACGAACGCUGGCGGCGUGCUUAACACAUGCAAGUCGAACGGAAAGGCCUGCUUUCCCUUGUGGAUUGCGGGUACUCGAGUGGCGAACGGGUGAGUAACACGUGAGUGAUCUGCCCCCAACUUGGGUAUAAGCCUGGGAAACUGGGUCUAAUUCCCGAUAGGACUGCAGGGUGGUGCCUGUGGUGGAAAACGAUUUUCUAGUGGUUGGGGAUGAGCUCGCGGCCUAUCAGCUUGUUGGUGGGGUAAUGGCCUACCAAGGCGGCGACGGGUAGCCGGCCUGAGAGAGUGGACGGCCACAUUGGGACUGAGAUGCGGCCCAGACUCCUACGGGAGGCAGCAGUGGGGAAUAAUGCACAAUGGGCGGAAGCCUGAUGCAGCAACGCCGCGGGGGGAAUGACGGCCUUCGGGUUGUAAACUCCUUUCGACAGCGAGGAAGCCACCUGGAUGGAAGGGUGGUGACGGUAGUGGUAGAAGAAGCACCGGCUAACUACGUG